rnacentral:lncRNA from 1 species
AUAUGAACUAAAAUACACUUUAGAUCUGAAAAUAAAAACUUACAUCCAUCUGAUCGAUGCUGCAUUCUAGAUUUAACUAUUAGAACUAAUAAAAUGAUCAAGAGACUUUAGAAACCAUUACCAAAAUGAAAGAAUCUUGAUCUUUGCCAGUCCAAUGCUUGAAAAAGCUUUCCUUCAGAGUGCUCGCAGCCACACGAAGUCAUUUGGCCUCUACAGCACAUCCACAUGAAGACAGGUGCAGAUCAGGGACCUUGGAAGUGCUAGCUUGCAAGAAACUUAGAGGCUGAUUUCUUCCUUCUUCUUCAAGAGCCUUGGAUGCUCCAAAGUAUGAAGAGAUCUAGAGGAGGA